rnacentral:rRNA from 1 species
AGCAGCAGCCACGGUAAUACGAAGGGUGCAAGCGUUACUCGGAAUUACUGGGCGUAAAGCGUGCGUAGGUGGUGGUUUAAGUCCGUUGUGAAAGCCCUGGGCUCAACCUGGGAAUUGCAGUGGAUACUGGGUCACUAGAGUGUGGUAGAGGAUAGUGGAAUUUCCGGUGUAGCAGUGAAAUGCGUAGAGAUCGGAAGGAACAUCUGUGGCGAAGGCGACUAUCUGGGCCAACACUGACACUGAGGCACGAAAGCGUGGGGAGCAAACAGGAUUAGAUACCCCUGUAGUCCAUGUCUCUUAUAC